CUCGGCACUCUCGCCGUGACUUGUUACCGAUGAAGCGCACACUGUCCCUCGGGAUCGAGGGAAGCGCCAAUAAGAUCGGUGUGGGGGUGGUGGACCAGAGCGGUACGGUGCUCUCUAACGUACGCGAAACCUACAUCACCCCACCUGGGACCGGGUUCCUGCCGCGCGAGACGGCCAUUCAUCACUCCCAGCACGUGCUGCAAGUCGUACAGCGGGCCAUGCACGAUGCCGCGGUGACGCCGGCCGACAUCGAUAUCAUCUCGUAUACCAAGGGCCCUGGCAUGGGCGGGCCGCUCACUGUCGGCUGCACCGUGGCCAAAACACUGUCCCUCCUGUGGGGGAAGCCGCUGGUGGGUGUCAACCACUGCGUCGGGCACAUUGAGAUGGGCCGCGUCGUCACGAAGAGCGAAAACCCUGUGGUGCUGUACGUCAGCGGGGGCAACACGCAAGUCAUCGCCUACGCUGAUCACCGCUACCGCAUUUUCGGUGAGACGAUCGACAUUGCCGUGGGCAACUGCCUGGACCGUGUUGCCCGCCUCCUCGACAUCUCAAACGACCCGGCACCGGGCUACAAUAUUGAACAGAAGGCCAAGAAGGGCAAGUGCUACAUCCGCUUGCCCUACACGGUGAAGGGAAUGGACAUGUCAUUCACCGGCAUCCUCUCCUACAUCGAACAGCUUGUGCACCACCCUCAAUUCACUGACCCGGGUGUUUGCGAGGUGUCCAAAAAGCGGCGCAAGGCGGCACCGUCCCUGGCGAGCACGCCGGUGCCGCCCGGCGAGACCUUCAACACGGACGACAUCUGCUUCUCCCUGCAGGAGACGAUCUUCGCCAUGCUAGUCGAAGUGACGGAGCGCGCCAUGUCGCAAAUCAAAGCAUCUGACGUGCUCAUUGUCGGCGGGGUGGGCUGCAACAAGCGCCUGCAGGAGAUGAUGCAGCUGAUGGCGGCAGAGCGUGGGGGUCGCUGUUUCGACAUGGAUCAGCGAUACUGCAUCGACAAUGGCUGCAUGAUCGCGUAUGCCGGGCUCCUCCAGUAUCUGAGUGGGUCCUUCACGACCAUGGCAGAGGCGACUAUCACGCAGCGCUUUCGCACCGAUGAAGUUUACGUCGCGUGGCGCGAUUGAAUUGGGGCGUUGCCCACGCAUUCGUGCAUCAUCGCCCGUGGUGAUGGUGUUGCCUCCGUUGUGUUGGAGACGUUUCCUGUGCGUUGUUCGCCAUUCUCAACCGAGCCAUCCUUCCCCCUCCACUCCAG
rnacentral:misc_RNA from 1 species